rnacentral:sRNA from 1 species
UCCUGAUGCCCUCAGGCCCUCUGCCCAGGACAUCAAUGAUGCCCAGGCCUACCACAGCCCCCCAGGAAACUCGGAAUAAGGAAGGAAAUCGUCUGUUCCCUCUGUAGCCCCCACUGGGAGCACCUCAGCUGCUGAGGACGGUGAUCUGCUGGCUCAGCCUUGGUACUCGGGGAACUGUGACCGCUAUGCUGUUGAGAGUGCCCUGCUCCACUUACAAAAGGAUGGGGCCUAUACCGUGCGCCCCAGCUCAGGGCCUCAUGGCUCCCAGCCCUUCACCCUGGCAGUGCUUCUCCGAGGCCGGGUCUUCAACAUUCCCAUCCGGCGGCUGGAUGGCGGACGCCACUAUGCCCUGGGCCGGGAGGGCAGGAACCAUGAGGAGCUCUUCUCCUCCGUGGCGGCCAUGGUCCAGCACUUCAUGUGGCACCCUCUGCCCCUUGUGGACAGACACAGCGGCAGCCGGGAACUCACCUGCCUGCUCUUCCCCACCAAGCCUUGAGGCCACAGCGAAGAAUGCAGGUGUCUGCCCAGUUCACUAGGUCCUGGAUGAAGGAACCGUGGUGGCCUAGACCAGUCAGGGGACAGCACAGGCACUGCCGGAACAGCAAAGGAUCCUCUCACAUCUACUUGUGGGCCUAGGGCACCCUGAGAGGGACUGGCCUACCUUGCACAAGUUCGCAUUCAAUAAACAUUUGUUGAAUG